rnacentral:rRNA from 1 species
CCUACGGGUGGCAGCAGUGAGGAAUAUUGGUCAAUGGACGCGAGCCUGAACCAGCCAAGUAGCGUGAAGGAUGACUGCCCUACGGGUUGUAAACUUCUUUUAUAAGGGAAUAAAGUGAUGCACGUGUGCCUUUUUGUAUGUACUAUAUGAAUAAGGAUCGGCUAACUCCGUGCCAGCAGCCGCGGUAAUACGGAGGAUCCGAGCGUUAUCCGGAUUUAUUGGGUUUAAAGGGAGCGUAGGUGGGUUGUUAAGUCAGUUGUGAAAGUUUGCGGCUCAACCGUAAAAUUGCAAUUGAUACUGGCAGUCUUGAGUACAGUUGAGGUAGGCGGAAUUCGUGGUGUAGCGGUGAAAUGCUUAGAUAUCACGAAGAACUCCGAUUGCGAAGGCAGCCUACUAAACUGCCACUGACAUUGAUGCUCGAAAGUGUGGGUAUCAAACAGGAUUAGAUACCCUUGUAGUC